AGCUCCCUGUCCUUGGCGCGGAUCUCGUCGCGUUGUUUGUCCACCACCUCCUUCAGCUUCUUCAUCACCUGUCGCUCCCGCUCUGACAUGCCUGGGUGGGCAAGUGAGACCGGCAGUAGAGACGGGGUUUCACCGUGGUCUCGAUCUCCUGACCUCGUGAUCCGCCCGCCUCGGCUUCCCAAAGUGCUGGGAUUACAAGCAUGAGCCACCGCACCCGGCCACCUCCUCUCUCUUGUCUCGGUGGUCACCACCAUGAACAAGCAUCCCUGGUGUGUUUCCAGAACAGCGGGCGAUGCUGCCAGGGCCACAAACCCAGGGCCCCACAGACAGCAGAGGCCCGAGGCUGGCCAAUGAACGGGAACUGGCCCUUCUUCCGCACUCCCAAAGUGCGACGUACUCCUGCCAAGCCCAGGAAGGAUAAACUGCUUUACACCCUGGACCCUAUUUCAUUCUCAUUCCCAACCACUGGAAAUGGGUCUUAUUAUCAUUACUGUUGUUUCUAACAUCAGUCUCACUUUACAUAUAUGAAAAACUGAGGCCCAGAGAUAUUUUUUUUUUCUCAAAGUCUUACAGCCAAAAACUCAAGCCCAGGUUUUCUGACUCCAGAUCCCAUGUCUUCUCCGUGAUACCAAGCUGCCUUGCCACCAGGGCACGAGAUGCAGAAGGCUCCCUUAAGGUCACCAGAAUGUGUCACCACGGGGCAGACUCUAGUCCCCACUUUCUCCCAGACAGGGCACCUUCUGGGGGUGCCCUCACAUAUUUUUGCAUAUGCGUACCCCCACAAGAAUGUUCACCCAUCAAGCUUUUUUUAUUUUUAUUUUAUUUUUAUUUUUUUGAGACAGAGUCUCACUUUGUUGCCCAGGCUGGAGUGCAGUGGCACGAUCUUGGCUCACUGCAACCUCAACCACCUCAGUUCAAGGACUUCUCCUGCCUCAGCUUCCUAAGUAGCUGGGACUACAGGCAUGUGCCACCAUGCCUGGCAAUUUUUGUAUUUUUAGUAGAGACAGGGUUUCACCAUGUUGGCCAGGCUGGUCUCAAACUCCUAACCUCAAGUGAUCUGCCCUCCUCGGCCUCCCAAAGUGCUGGGAUUACAGGCGUGAGCCACUGCGACCAGCCUGUUUGUUUGUUUAGAGAUAGGGUCUUGCUUUGUUACCUAGGCUAAAGUACAGUAGCACGAUCACAGCUCACUGCAGCCUUGACCUUCCAGGCUCAAGUGAUUCUCCCAUCUCAGCCUCCCCAGUACCUGGGACCACUGCGUGCACCACCACACUUGGCUAAUUUAAAAAAAUUUUUUUUAAAGUCUCACUGUGUUACCCAGGCUGGUCUUGAACUCCUGGCCUCAAGCAAUCCUCCCAACUGAGUCCCACCAAGUGCUAGGACUACAGGUGUGGGCUACUGUGCCCGGCCAUCGAGUUUUUGUGUUUUUUUUGUUUUUUUUGACCCAGGGUCUCUGUCACCUAGGCUAGAGUGCAGUGGAAAGAUCACAGCUCACUGCAAUCUCCACCUCCUGGGCGUAAGUGAUCCUCCACCUCAGCCUCUGAGUAGCUGGGACUACAAAGACGCACCACUACAGCUAGCUCGUUUUUGAAUAUUUUUUUAUAGAGACAAGGUCUUGCCAUGUUGCCCAGGCUGAUCUCAAACUCCUGGGCUCAAGUGACCUUCCCACCUCGGCCUCCCGAAGGGCCCUGAUGGCGGGCAUCAGCCACCACACCUGGCCAUCAAGUGUUUAUUGACCACCUGCUGUGUACAUGACACCGAACUAGUCAUGAGGGUCAGCAUGGUGAAUAAAUGAAACCUGAUUCUGCUCUCACUGGUUUACAGAUGUCAGACAGGCAUGUGCCAUUACAGACCAAGUUGAGUGCCGUGACGGAUGUGACAGGGGCUGAGAAAAGUGACCAGGGAGACCCCAUGCAGACCAUGGGCACAGGGCAGGCCUCUCAGGGCAGGGGUCAUUUCCACUGAGACCAGAGGCCACAGAAUAAGGGAGGCCUGGUGGCAAGGACAGCACAGUGCAGGCGGCAGCGAGUGCAAAGGCCCUGGGGGAGGGGCUGCAUCGGGGGCCGAGAGCAAUGCGGGCUGAGGCGCAGAGGCCAUGGGGGAGAUGCACGCAUGAGCUAAAACAAGCCCAGGCCACACAGUGCCUUAAGGCUCGGGUCAGGGGUUGGAUUAUCCCCUGCAGGGACAACAGGAACCUCAGGGUCUCAACAUGUAGGGGCUGUGCAGAGCAGGAGGGUCAGGUGGAGGAGACCAGGAAGGGGCAGCCAGAGAGGACAGACUUCCAGCAGGGGUGGGUGUCCUCUGUAUGCACACAACAUGGCUGGAGGGAAAGGACUCUGCAGUGCAGGAAAUUAUGGGAAAUGUGGACAGGGCACCAAGGCACUGAGAGGCCCCGGAGAACGGUACAGAAAGCUGAGCUCCACUACCUGGUGCCAUCGAGGCUCACAGCUUAUGACUUCUGAAGUGAUGCUCACCUCUCUGAGCCUCUAUUCACUCAUCUGCAAAAUGGGUACGUGAAUUUUUUUCCAUUCUCCACCUUUCUGAUGGUGCUGUUCACGUAAAGUACAUAUAGUAGAAAGCUACACAAAGCCAUGAAAUUGGAUGGUGCAAUCUCCCACCGAUGGCCUUGCGGGGCAUGAGUACAGCCCUUCAAGCUGAAUGACCACUCGGGUUUCUUCUAGUACCUGCCGGGUCCUGCUCAGCUCUGAGGCAGAGAGCUGCACAAAAGCCCUAAGACCCCACAGAGACGUCAGCCAUGGCUUGUGUGCGGAGGCAGAGAUGAAAAGAAGGGGCAAGAAUCCAUUUAGCCACCAGAAUGGCUAAAAUGAGAAGGACUGACACCACCAAGUGCUGGUGAGA